AUGUAAAUAUCAAUUAUAUUUUGUUUAUCGUUUUUUUUUCUUUUCUUUUGUAGGCAUAUGGUAUAGAUUCAAGGAAUAUGCGCGUGUUUAGUCCUGAAGAACUAAUUGAGAUGUAUAUAUCUGAAGAAAAUGGAACAGCCAGCGCCUAUGAUUUUAAGAUAGCUCUUGACCUUCUGAAUUUCAUGAAAAAGCCUUUGAGUGAUCCUGAAAUCUUGAAUAUAAGGUUGCAUAUUUGGGCAAGAGCAUUGUUGAAGGAUAAGUAAGUGUUUCCCAUUCAUAUCAUUUAAGAAUAACAAUGGACCAAAAUAGGUGAAACAAACAAAAAAAAUGACAUUACACUGUGAAAGAAUAAAAGCAGAAUAAACUGCAGCGUCUACAUUCAACG